rnacentral:rRNA from 1 species
GACGAACGCUGGCGGCGUGCCUAAUACAUGCAAGUAGAACGCUGAAGGAGGAGCUUGCUUCUCUGGAUGAGUUGCGAAUGGGUGAGUAACGCGUAGGUAACCUGCCUGGUAGCGGGGGAUAACUAUUGGAAACGAUAGCUAAUACCGCAUAAGAGUAGAUGUUGCAUGACAUUUGCUUAAAAGGUGCAAUUGCAUCACUACCAGAUGGACCUGCGUUGUAUUAGCUAGUUGGUGGGGUAACGGCUCACCAAGGCGACGAUACAUAGCCGACCUGAGAGGGUGAUCGGCCACACUGGGACUGAGACACGGCCCAGACUCCUACGGGAGGCAGCAGUAGGGAAUCUUCGGCAAUGGACGGAAGUCUGACCGAGCAACGCCGCGUGAGUGAAGAAGGUUUUCGGAUCGUAAAGCUCUGUUGUAAGAGAAGAACGAGUGUGAGAGUGGAAAGUUCACACUGUGACGGUAUCUUACCAGAAAGGGACGGCUAACUACGUG